GCAAUGGCGCUGCCUUACCAUGCAGUCGAACGGCAGCAUGAUCUAGCUUGCUAGAUUGAUGGCGAGUGGCGAACGGGUGAGUAAUACAUCGGAACGUGCCCUGUAGUGGGGGAUAACUAGUCGAAAGAUUAGCUAAUACCGCAUACGACCUGAGGGUGAAAGUGGGGGACCGCAAGGCCUCAUGCUAUAGGAGCGGCCGAUGUCUGAUUAGCUAGUUGGUGAGGUAAAGGCUCACCAAGGCGACGAUCAGUAGCUGGUCUGAGAGGACGAUCAGCCACACUGGGACUGAGACACGGCCCAGACUCCUACGGGAGGCAGCAGUGGGGAAUUUUGGACAAUGGGCGAAAGCCUGAUCCAGCAAUGCCGCGUGUGUGAAGAAGGCCUUCGGGUUGUAAAGCACUUUUGUCCGGAAAGAAAUGGCUCUGGUUAAUACCUGGGGUCGAUGACGGUACCGGAAGAAUAAGGACCGGCUAACUACGUGCCAGCAGCCGCGGUAAUACGUAGGGUCCAAGCGUUAAUCGGAAUUACUGGGCGUAAAGCGUGCGCAGGCGGUUGUGCAAGACCGAUGUGAAAUCCCCGAGCUUAACUUGGGAAUUGCAUUGGUGACUGCACGGCUAGAGUGUGUCAGAGGGGGGUAGAAUUCCACGUGUAGCAGUGAAAUGCGUAGAGAUGUGGAGGAAUACCGAUGGCGAAGGCAGCCCCCUGGGAUAACACUGACGCUCAUGCACGAAAGCGUGGGGAGCAAACAGGAUUAGAUACCCUGGUAGUCCACGCCCUAAACGAUGUCAACUAGUUGUUGGGGAUUCAUUUCCUUAGUAACGUAGCUAACGCGUGAAGUUGACCGCCUGGGGAGUACGGUCGCAAGAUUAAAACUCUGAAAAUUUGACGGAA
rnacentral:rRNA from 1 species